rnacentral:misc_RNA from 1 species
UGUGGGAGCGAGCUUGCUCGCGAUGGCGUCGGACCAGCCAGUAUCGAUGUUGACUGGCACACCGCUAUCGCGAGCAAGCUCGCUCCCAUA